rnacentral:rRNA from 1 species
GAAGCCCUUCGGGGUGGAUUAGUGGCGAACGGGUGAGUAACACGUGGGCAAUCUGCCCUGCACUCUGGGACAAGCCCUGGAAACGGGGUCUAAUACCGGAUAUGACCGUCCAUCGCAUGGUGGAUGGUGUAAAGCUCCGGCGGUGCAGGAUGAGCCCGCGGCCUAUCAGCUAGUUGGUGAGGUAGUGGCUCACCAAGGCGACGACGGGUAGCCGGCCUGAGAGGGCGACCGGCCACACUGGGACUGAGACACGGCCCAGACUCCUACGGGAGGCAGCAGUGGGGAAUAUUGCACAAUGGGCGAAAGCCUGAUGCAGCGACGCCGCGUGAGGGAUGACGGCCUUCGGGUUGUAAACCUCUUUCAGCAGGGAAGAAGCGAAAGUGACGGUACCUGCAGAAGAAGCGCCGGCUAACUACGUGCCAGCAGCCGCGGUAAUACGUAGGGCGCAAGCGUUGUCCGGAAUUAUUGGGCGUAAAGAGCUCGUAGGCGGCUUGUCACGUCGGUUGUGAAAGCCCGGGGCUUAACCCCGGGUCUGCAGUCGAUACGGGCAGGCUAGAGUUCGGUAGGGGAGAUCGGAAUUCCUGGUGUAGCGGUGAAAUGCGCAGAUAUCAGGAGGAACACCGGUGGCGAAGGCGGAUCUCUGGGCCGAUACUGACGCUGAGGAGCGAAAGCGUGGGGAGCGAACAGGAUUAGAUACCCUGGUAGUCCACGCCGUAAACGGUGGGCACUAGGUGUGGGCAACAUUCCACGUUGUCCGUGCCGCAGCUAACGCAUUAAGUGCCCCGCCUGGGGAGUACGGCCGCAAGGCUAAAA